UCCGCCGUGGUGUAAUCGGCAGCACCGCUGAUUUUGGUUCAGCUAGUUCAGGUUCGAGUCCUGGCGGCGGAG
rnacentral:tRNA from 3 species